AUGGACUUAAACUCAACCUUCCCGUUUGAUUUAUAUCUUCCUUCAGUUAUCUAUACCAUUAUUAUCAUCAGUGGCAUUAUUUAUGGAGUGCCAUCAACCUUCAGGACACUUGAACAACCAGAGCGAUCCAAAACAACAUGUCCAGCCAAAGCCACACAAUGUUGUGUGUAUUGGUUGUCUAUUCCAUGGAUCUGGACUUCCUCUUCAACUCACCAUUGUUACUGGUUGGAGAUGGCCUAUCAUGAAGGACCCAAGGAUGAUCUACUUUCUGGUCUCCUGCCAUCAUUGAAAAAUACAUUUGAUAUUUAACGGGUUAUGGAGAAAUGUCUCCUAGUGGAACAUAUGCUCAGCUCUUUUAUCCUUAUUGUUAUUUAUUUUAAAAUUAUGUUCUACUGUUUUAAAUUAUGGAUGUUUUACUAUUAUAGAGAAUUUAAUAAGUUAAAAAAACUUUUUGAUAUUGAGUCCUAUGGUGAAAGAAAGUAGGCUUUAAUGAAAUGAAAUAAAUCUGUUCCCUCUGCUGUACCAGUGCACUCCACCUGCAGCUAACAAAGUUAUGACCAUUUCUUUCCACCAAUGUGUUUGUGUACGAAACUUCUUUUCAUCCUUGAAAUCCACUUUCCUUUGUUAUUAGGACCACAUAUGAAGAACACUGUCACCCCCCUUACACACACACACACACACACAAACACACAUAUGUUAAAUCACUUGUGACCACCUUCCUACAUAGCCAAUAUACAGAAAGUAUUUAAAACAAGUAACAAUGGCAUCAAUACCAUUAUAAUAUUUCAGCCAUUCCAUGCCCUCCUCCAUACACAAAAUAUUAAAAUACUUUCAGAAAGUAAUCCGAAUUUCUCUUCCAAAUGCUAGAAUGCAGUGAAUUACACAGGAAACA
rnacentral:lncRNA from 11 species